AGGACGAACGCUGGCGGCGUGCUUAACACAUGCAAGUCGAGCGGAAAGGCCCUUCGGGGUACUCGAGCGGCGAACGGGUGAGUAACACGUGAGUAAUCUGCCCCUAGCUCUGGGAUAGCUCCGGGAAACCGGGAUUAAUACCGGAUACGACCACCUUAGACAUCUUUUGUGGUGGAAAGAAUUUCGGCUAGGGAUGAGCUCGCGGCCUAUCAGCUUGUUGGUGGGGUAACGGCCUACCAAGGCGACGACGGGUAGCCGGCCUGAGAGGGCGACCGGCCACACUGGGACUGAGACACGGCCCAGACUCCUACGGGAGGCAGCAGUGGGGAAUAUUGCGCAAUGGGCGAAAGCCUGACGCAGCGACGCCGCGUGGGGGAUGAAGGCCUUCGGGUUGUAACCCCUUUCAGCAGGGACGAAGCGAAAGUGACGGUACCUGCAGAAGAAGCGCCGGCUAACUACGUGCCAGCAGCCGC
rnacentral:rRNA from 1 species